rnacentral:rRNA from 1 species
UACGAAGGGGGCUAGCGUUGUUCGGAAUCACUGGGCGUAAAGCGCACGCAGGCGGAUCGUUAAGUCAGGGGUGAAAUCCCGAGGCUCAACCUCGGAACUGCCUUUGAUACUGGCGAUCUUGAGUCCGGGAGAGGUGAGUGGAACUCCGAGUGUAGAGGUGAAAUUCGUAGAUAUUCGGAAGAACACCAGUGGCGAAGGCGGCUCACUGGCCCGGUACUGACGCUCAGGUGCGAAAGCGUGGG